AAGAAUCUGAUCCUAGUGUUCUUAGGGAUAUCGAUACGGGAGUAUUAUCCAAUAUGAAGGAAAGUAAAUUGGAUGCAGAUGAAUGCAAAUUGGAUGCAGUAAAUUGGAUGCAGAUGAAUGCAAGCAAAGUGGUUGACAGAGAAAGAUCAGUAGCUAAUGAGACGAUGAACGGAGACAUGUUAGUAUGUGCUACAGAGGAAGAAUCUGAUCCUAGUGUUCUUAGGGAUAUCGAUACGGGAGAAUUAUCCAAUAUGAAGGAAAGUAAAUUGGAUGC
rnacentral:lncRNA from 1 species